CCUACGGGUGGCUGCAGUGGGGAAUAUUGGACAAUGGGCGAAAGCCUGAUCCAGCCAUGCCGCGUGUGUGAAGAAGGCCUUCGGGUUGUAAAGCACUUUCAGUGGGGAAGAAAGCCUUGGGGCUAAUACCCUCGAGGAAGGACAUCACCCACAGAAGAAGCACCGGCUAACUCCGUGCCAGCAGCCGCGGUAAUACGGAGGGUGCGAGCGUUAAUCGGAAUUACUGGGCGUAAAGCGCGCGUAGGCGGUCUGAUAAGCCGGUUGUGAAAGCCCCGGGCUCAACCUGGGAACGGCAUCCGGAACUGUCAGGCUAGAGUGCAGGAGAGGAAGGUAGAAUUCCUGGUGUAGCGGUGAAAUGCGUAGAGAUCGGGAGGAAUACCAGUGGCGAAGGCGGCCUUCUGGACUGACACUGACGCUGAGGUGCGAAAGCGUGGGUAGCAAACAGGAUUAGAUACCCCUGUAGUC
rnacentral:rRNA from 1 species